rnacentral:snRNA from 1 species
AGAUGUGAGAGCUAUCUGGCUGUGAUAUCUGUCACCGCAUUGAUAUCCAGGGUUGAUUUAGCUGAAUUGGCUGGCUAGGACUGAAUUGUCCCUUCCUCCCUUACCACUCCAUGUGCAUCCCUCCUGAAGCUGUGCACUUGGUUAAACAGGAUGACCACUGAAGAGGACAACCAUCCCCACUAGAGGAGGACCAGUCUUCAGUCAAGAGUGUACAAGUAGCUGCAGUCUCCUGCUAGAACCUCCAAACAAGCUCUCAAGGUCCACUUGUUGGGGAAGAUAGGAUAGUCAAGCUUCCAAGACUCCGCAUACAUCCAUAUGAGGUGCUGCAUUGGUGAGCUUUGAAUUUUUAU